rnacentral:rRNA from 1 species
GAUGAACGCUAGCGGCAGGCUUAACACAUGCAAGUCGAACGGAUCCUUCGGGAUUAGUGGCGGACGGGUGAGUAACGCGUGGGAACGUGCCCUUUGGUUCGGAAUAGCCUCGGGAAACUGGGAGUAAUACCGGAUAAGCCCUUCGGGGGAAAGAUUUAUCGCCAAAGGAUCGGCCCGCGUUGGAUUAGGUAGUUGGUGGGGUAAUGGCCUACCAAGCCGACGAUCCAUAGCUGGUUUGAGAGGAUGAUCAGCCACACUGGGACUGAGACACGGCCCAGACUCCUACGGGAGGCAGCAGUGGGGAAUCUUAGACAAUGGGGGAAACCCUGAUCUGGCCAUGCCGCGUGAUCGAUGAAGGCCUUAGGGUUGUAAAGAUCUUUCAGUUGGGAAGAUAAUGACGGUUCCAACAGAAGAAGCCCCGGCUAACUCCGUGCCAGCAGCCGCAGUAAAAC